CAUGAUGCCCAGUGGUC
rnacentral:misc_RNA from 1 species